rnacentral:rRNA from 1 species
UACGUAGGGGGCUAGCGUUGUCCGGAAUCAUUGGGCGUAAAGAGCGUGUAGGCGGCCCGGUAAGUCCGCUGUGAAAGUCAAAGGCUCAACCUUUGAAUGUCAGCGGAUACUGCCGGGCUAGAGUCCGGAAGAGGCGAGUGGAACUCCUGGUGUAGCGGUGAAAUGCGCAGAUAUCAGGAAGAACACCAACGGCGAAGGCAGCUCGCUGGGACGGUACUGACGCUGAGACGCGAAAGCGUGGGGAGCGAACAGG